rnacentral:rRNA from 1 species
CAGUCGCCACGGUAAUACGUAGGUGGCAAGCGUUGUCCGGAAUUAUUGGGCGUAAAGGGCUCGCAGGCGGUUUCUUAAGUCUGAUGUGAAAGCCCCCGGCUCAACCGGGGAGGGUCAUUGGAAACUGGGAAACUUGAGUGCAGAAGAGGAGAGUGGAAUUCCACGUGUAGCGGUGAAAUGCGUAGAGAUGUGGAGGAACACCAGUGGCGAAGGCGACUCUCUGGUCUGUAACUGACGCUGAGGAGCGAAAGCGUGGGGAGCAAACAGGAUUAGAUACCCGCGUAGUCCCUGUCUCUUAUAC